GACGAACGCUGGCGGCGUGCUUAACACAUGCAAGUCGAACGGACAGGCGCGGCUUUUGUUGGUUGCACGAUUGGCGAACGGGUGAGUAACACGUGAGUAACCUGCCCCUGACUUUGUGAUAACUUCACGAAACUGCGGCUAAUACACGGUAGGAGCUCCUGCUGCAUGGUGGUGGUUGGUAAGUUACGGCGUUAGUGGCUCGAUUGGCGGCUUAUCAGCUUGAUGGUGGGGUAGUGGCUUACAAAGGCUUUGACGGGUAGGCGGCCUGGGAGGGUUGACGGGCACAUUGGGCCUGCGAUACGCACCAGACUCGUAUGGGACGCAGCAGUGGGGAAUAUUGCACAAUGGGGGGAAGCCUGAUGCAGCAACGCCGCGUGCGGGAUGACGGCCUUCGGGUGGUAAACCGCUUUCGCCUGUGCCGAAGAGUGAUUGACGGUAAUGGGUAAAGAAGCACCGGCUAACUACGUG
rnacentral:rRNA from 1 species